UGUCCCAUUGGAGGUGACACAGGUGUGGUGGCUGUGUCCCAUGUGCUUCAGUAGCUGGCAGAGGGGCUAUGUCUAAGCUCAGUGUUCAGACCUACAAACAUCUGAAUGGUAAGUAGCCUAACACU